rnacentral:rRNA from 1 species
UACGGAGGGUGCAAGCGUUAAUCGGAAUUACUGGGCGUAAAGCGUGCGCAGGCGGUUUGUUAAGUCCGUUGUGAAAGCCCCGAGCUCAACUUGGGAAUUGCAGUGGAUACUGGCAGGCUGGAGUACGGUAGAGGAAGGUGGAAUUCCCGGUGUAGCAGUGAAAUGCGCAGAUAUCAGGAGGAACACCGGUGGCGAAGGCGGGACUCUGGGCCGAUACUGACGCUGAGGAGCGAAAGCGUGGGGAGCAAACAGG